GCUAAUACCGGAUAACAACAGAUGAUGCCUAUCAACUGUUUAAAAGAAUGGUUCUGCUAUCACUCUUGGAUGGACCUGCGGUGCAUUAGCUAGUUGGUAGGGUAACGGCCUACCAAGGCGAUGAUGCAUAGCCGAGUUGAGAGACUGAUCGGCCACAUUGGGACUGAGACACGGCCCAAACUCCUACGGGAGGCAGCAGUU
rnacentral:rRNA from 1 species